UAUUAUAUCACAAAUGGCGGCGGUGAAGAUCUGCAGUCCAAAGCGCUGAGCCGGAUGACGUCAUUUUUAUCUACGUCAUCGCACGUGUUAUGACGACAGAGCAGAAACAUCUUUCCGAGGCGCAUUAUAGACUCUACAUAAGUUAAACUUAAAUGACAGUAUUGACUGGAGUUUGAAUUACUCAAAGGGAAAAAGACAAAACAGUCCAAAAAAAAAAAACAAAAUAAAAAACAGUCGUCCAUCUUUCAUCCGGCAUAUAUCCAUAGGUGUUGGAUAAAAAGCGAAGUUAUGGAGCCGAAGUGGAGUACUUGGGGAAAUUAUCUUUGAAGGAAAAGUUACCAAGAACCAGGCGCAACAGGAUUGUUCAAGGAUACAGAAAAUUACUUACUGUAUUACUACCCCCACUUAGAUGAUUGCCGACAUCUGUCAAAAAAUGAAACAUUUCAGGAGCUCUAAAGAAUUGUGAAUUUAACUUAAUCAUAAUGCAUCUGAAUGGACAUAUAUUUGAUAUUUGUUGAGUGGUAUUCAGAUGCAGACGACGGUACAGAAUACUGUGAUGCUAAGAACUGCUU